AGACCUCAAAUCAGGCAGGAUUACCCGCUGAACUUAAGCAUAUCA
rnacentral:rRNA from 1 species